UUGCGUGUGACUGGAGUUCAGACGUGUGCUCUUCCGAUCUGGGGGAGCACCACAACGGGUGGAGCUUGCGGUUUAAUUGGAUUCAACGCCGGAAAUCUUACCGGGACCGACAGCAAUAUGAAGGCCAGGCUGAAGACUUUGCCGGAUUAGCUGAGAGGUGGUGCAUGGCCGUCGUCAGUUCGUACUGUGAAGCAUCCUGUUAAGUCAGGCAACGAGCGAGACCCACGCCCACAGUUGCCAGCGUACUCUCUGGAGUGACGGGUACACUGUGGGGACCGCCGCUGCUAAAGCGGAGGAAGGAAUGGGCAACGGUAGGUCAGUAUGCCCCGAAUAUCCCGGGCUACACGCGAGCUACAAUGGUUGGUACAAUGGGUAUCUACCCCGAAAGGGGACGGGAAUCUCCUAAAACCAAUCUUAGUUCGGAUUGAGGGCUGCAACUCGCCCUCAUGAAGCUGGAAUCCGUAGUAAUCGCGUUUCAACAGAACGCGGUGAAUACGUCCCUGCUCCUUGCACACACCGCCCGUAGAUCGGAAGAGC
rnacentral:rRNA from 1 species